AUUGAACGCUCGCGGCAGGCCUAACACAUGCAAGUCGAACGAGUGGCGGACGGAUAAGUAAUAUAUGGGAAACUGCCUGAUAGCGGGGGAUAACUACUGGAAACGGUAGCUAAUACCGCAUACCAUCAGAUCGGCCCAUAUGGUAUUAGCUUGUUGGGGGGGGAACGGCUCACAAAGGCGACGCUCCCUAGCUGGUCUGAGAGGAUGACCAGCCACACUGGCACGGAGACACGGUCCAGACUCCUACGUGAGGCAGCAGUGGGGAAUCUUGCACAAUGGGCGAAAGCCUGAGGCAGCCAUGCCGCGUGUAUGAAGAAGGCCUUCGGGUUGUAAAGUACUUUCCGCGGGGAGGCGUUACCCGCAGAAGAAGCACCGGCUAACUCCGUGCCAGCCGCCGCGGUAAUAC
rnacentral:rRNA from 1 species